UGGGGAAUAUUGCACAAUGGGCGCAAGCCUGAUGCAGCCAUGCCGCGGGUAUGAAGAAGGCCUUCGGGUUGUAAAGUACUUUCAGCGGGGAGGAAGGGAGUAAAGUUAAUACCUUUGUUCAUUGACGUUACCCGCAGAAGAAGCACCGGCUAACUCCGUGCCAGCAGCCGCGGUAAUACGGAGGGUGCAAGCGUUAAUCGGAAUUACUGGGCGUAAAGCGCACGCAGGCGGUUUGUUAAGUCAGAUGUGAAAUCCCCGGGCUCAACCUGGGAACUGCAUCGGAUACUGGCAAGCUUGAGUCUCGUAGAGGGGGGUAGAAUUCCAGGUGUAGCGGUGAAAUGCGUAGAGAUCGGGAGGAAUACCGGUGGCGAAGGCGGCCCCCUGGACGAAGACUGACGCUCAGGUGCGAAAGCGUGGGGAGCAAACAGG
rnacentral:rRNA from 1 species